UACGUAGGUGACAAGCGUUGUCCGGAUUUAUUGGGCGUAAAGCGCUCGCAGGUGGUUCGAUGCGUCGUGCGUGAAAGACCCCGGCUCAACUGGGGGGUGUCGUGCGAUACGGUCGGACUGGAGGCCAGUAGGGGGAUGCGGAAUUCCGGGUGUAGUGGUGGAAUGCGUAGAGAUCCGGAGGAACACCAGCGGCGAAGGCGGCAUCCUGGACUGGUCCUGACACUCAUGAGCGAAAGCGUGGGGAGCGAUCCGG
rnacentral:rRNA from 1 species